rnacentral:rRNA from 1 species
AUGUCCGUCCGCCUCAACGCCUAUAUAAAGGAUUACGUGUGGGCAAUAUUGAAACUGUACAUUCCAGUAGUAUCGCUGCUGUUUUUUUGCAGCUUUUGUAGUUGCUGGAACUAUGUGGUAUGGGUCAGCAACAACCCCAAUCGAAUUAUUUGGGCCUACUCGUUAUCAGUGGGAUCAGAGAUACUUUCAGCAAGAAAUAUAUCGAAGAGUUUGCAAUGGUUUAGCCAAAAAUCUUAG